GGCCAGACUCCUACGGGAGGCAGCAGUGAGGAAUAUUGGUCAAUGGGAGAGAUCCUGAACCAGCCAAGCCGCGUGAGGGAAGACGGCCCUAUGGGUUGUAAACCUCUUUUGUCGGAGAACAAAACCCGGGACGUGUCCCGGACUGCGUGUAUCCGAAGAAAAAGCAUCGGCUAACUCCGUGCCAGCAGCCGCGGUAAUACGGAGGAUGCGAGCGUUAUCCGGAUUUAUUGGGUUUAAAGGGUGCGCAGGCGGUCUGUUAAGUCAGCGGUCAAAGCCCGGGGCUCAACCCCGGUCCGCCGUUGAAACUGGCAGUCUCGAGUUGGAGAGAAGUAUGCGGAAUGCGCGGUGUAGCGGUGAAAUGCAUAGAUAUCGCGCAGAACUCCGAUUGCGAAGGCAGCAUGCCGGCUCCACACUGACGCUGAGGCACGAAAGCGUGGGUAUCGAACAGGAUUAGAUACCCCGGUA
rnacentral:rRNA from 1 species